rnacentral:rRNA from 1 species
AUUGAACGCUGGCGGCAGGCCUAACACAUGCAAGUCGAGCGGAUGACAGGAGCUUGCUCCUUGAUUCAGCGGCGGACGGGUGAGUAAUGCCUAGGAAUCUGCCUGGUAGUGGGGGACAACGUUUCGAAAGGAACGCUAAUACCGCAUACGUCCUACGAGAGAAAGCAGGGGACCUUCGGGCCUUGCGCUAUCAGAUGAGCCUAGGUCGGAUUAGCUAGUAGGUGAGGUAAUGGCCCACCUAGGCGACGAUCCGUAACUGGUCUGAGAGGAUGAUCAGUCACACUGGAACUGAGACACGGUCCAGACUCCUACGGGAGGCAGCAGUGGGGAAUAUUGGACAAUGGGCGAAAGCCUGAUCCAGCCAUGCCGCGUGUGUGAAGAAGGUCUUCGGAUUGUAAAGCACUUUAAGUUGGGAGGAAGGGCAGUAAGUUAAUACCUUGCUGUUUUGACGUUACCGACAGAAUAAGCACCGGCUAACUCUGUGCCAGCCGCCGCGGUAAAAC